rnacentral:rRNA from 1 species
UACGUAGGGGGCUAGCGUUGUCCGGAAUCAUUGGGCGUAAAGAGCGCGUAGGCGGCCAGAUAAGUCCGGUGUGAAAGUCAAAGGCUCAACCUUUGAAUGCCGCUGGAAACUGUCUGGCUAGAGUCCGGGAGGGGCGAGUGGAAUUCCUGGUGUAGCGGUGAAAUGCGUAGAGAUCAGGAAGAACACCAGUGGCGAAGGCGCUCUACUAGGCCGUAACUGACACUGAGGGACGAAAGCUAGGGGAGCGAAUGGG